CCUACGGGAGGCAGCAGUGAGGAAUAUUGGUCAAUGGGCGGAAGCCUGAACCAGCCAAGUCGCGUGAGGGAUUAAGGCCCUGCGGGUCGUAAACCUCUUUUGCCGGGGAGCAGUGGUCCGGACGAGUCCGGGCCGGGAGAGUACCCGGAGAAAAAGCAUCGGCUAACUCCGUGCCAGCAGCCGCGGUAAUACGGAGGAUGCGAGCGUUAUCCGGAUUUAUUGGGUUUAAAGGGUGCGUAGGCGGGCAUUUAAGCCGGCGGUCAAAUGUCGGGGCUCAACCCCGGCCUGCCGUCGGAACUGGGUGCCUUGAGUGGGCGAGAAGUAUGCGGAAUGCGGGGUGUAGCGGUGAAAUGCAUAGAUAUCACGCAGAACCCCGAUUGCGAAGGCAGCAUACCGGCGCCCGACUGACGCUGAGGCACGAAAGUGCGGGUAUCGAACAGGAUUAGAUACCCCGGUAGUC
rnacentral:rRNA from 1 species